rnacentral:other from 1 species
AGUGCUAACAGGCCGUUAGCUGACAAGAUGUCAUGGACACGGAAUGGAUACCGCCGGGGAUCAGGAUGAUUGCCGUCAGGAUGAGCAGGAACCCUUCAGGAUGAAGGCAGGGACACCGCCAGGAAGGAUGAGAGAGUCGUACAAGGACAACGCGACAGGUCAAGGAUCUACCAAGGAUAACCCGGGGAUGGGGUUUAGGGAUUACCGCUAAGGAUUUAGAACAACAAGGAUUGUCGCAGGGAGCACCAUAGUAGCCGGACUGCUGCAUGUAAGACCUAAGGGCGCAACGAAAGUUGCGCCCGUUCUUUUUUGC